UACGUAGGGUGCGAGCGUUAAUCGGAAUUACUGGGCGUAAAGCGUGCGCAGGCGGUUCGUUAAGUUCGUUGUGAAAGCCCCGGGCUCAACCUGGGAACUGCAAUGGAAACUGGCGGGCUUGAAUGCGGCAGAGGGGGGUGGAAUUCCGCGUGUAGCAGUGAAAUGCGUAGAGAUGUGGAGGAAUACCGAUGGCGAAGGCAGCCCCCUGGGCCGAUACUGACGCUGAGGAGCGAAAGCGUGGGGAGCAACAGG
rnacentral:rRNA from 1 species